rnacentral:rRNA from 1 species
GUGAGGAAUAUUGGUCAAUGGGCGGGAGCCUGAACCAGCCAAAUCGCGUGAAGGAUGAAGGUAUUAUGUAUUGUAAACUUCUUUUAUCGGGGAAUAAAGUGCAUCACGUGUGGUGUUUUGUAAGUACCCGAAGAAUAAGGAUCGGCUAACUCCGUGCCAGCAGCCGCGGUAAUACGGAGGAUCCGAGCGUUAUCCGGAUUUAUUGGGUUUAAAGGGUGCGUAGGCGGACUAUCAAGUCAGCGGUGAAAGUUCAUGGCUCAACCAUGGAAUUGCCGUUGAAACUGAUGGUCUUGAGUGUAGAUGAGGUAGGCGGAAUUCGUGGUGUAGCGGUGAAAUGCAUAGAUAUCACGAAGAACACCGAUUGCGUAGGCAGCUUACCAAGCUACAACUGACGCUGAGGCACGAAGGUGCGGGGAUCAAACAGGAUUAGAUACCCCUGUAGUCC